rnacentral:tRNA from 1 species
GGGGUUGUGGCUCAGUGGUAGAGCGCUUGCCUUGCAUGCGCGAGGCACUGGGUUUGAUCCUCAGCACCA